rnacentral:lncRNA from 1 species
UUUUUUCCUUUCUGCAGAAGGUGCAAAAAUAAACAAACACCCGAAUUACUUUGAUACUGUCCACUCACAGCUGACUCAGAUAAACUCUUUAACUCACCUAUAGUUGUGAAGAUACAUGUACCUCUUGUCCAUGUCAAUUAAGGACAAUCAAAACAAUACAAACCGGUUUUUUACCUGAGGGUGCAUCUCAUAGUUGUACCACAACUUAGUUAAUUUUCACACCUUU